rnacentral:rRNA from 1 species
GAUGAACGCUGGCGGCGUGCCUAAUACAUGCAAGUCGAGCGAACAGACGAGGAGCUUGCUUCUCUGACGUUAGCGGCGGACGGGUGAGUAACACGUGGAUAACCUACCUAUAAGACUGGGAUAACUUCGGGAAACCGGAGCUAAUACCGGAUAAUAUAUUGAACCGCAUGGUUCAAUAGUGAAAGACGGUUUUGCUGUCACUUAUAGAUGGAUCCGCGCCGCAUUAGCUAGUUGGUAAGGUAACGGCUUACCAAGGCAACGAUGCGUAGCCGACCGGAGAGGGUGAUCGGCCACACUGGAACUGAGACACGGUCCAGACUCCUACGGGAGGCAGCAGUAGGGAAUCUUCCGCAAUGGGCGAAAGCCUGACGGAGCAACGCCGCGUGAGUGAUGAAGGUCUUCGGAUCGUAAAACUCUGUUAUUAGGGAAGAACAAAUGUGUAAGUAACUAUGCACGUCUUGACGGUACCUAAUCAGAAAGCCACGGCUAACUACGUG